AUUCAAUGGAAGCCUCUGUCAGACUACUCACUUGUUCUAAUCGCCACCAUGUCUCCCCUUCUCUCUUCCUCAAACUCAAUCACAAGCCCUUUCCUUUAUCACCAUCUUCCUUUCGAACCCCUUCACUUUCUUCUCCCCCAAAGAAUCGCCCCCGCAUUUUCUUAUCACAUCGCAAUCCCUCCUCCCCACUUUCUUCUCCAUUUGGGUUUUCGAAAAACCCUUUCCCGUCGAAAUUCUUGAAUCCCAUCUUAUCCAGCGAUCGUUUUGCUCGAAUAGUAUCUGGUACCCAAGAUAA
rnacentral:misc_RNA from 1 species